UUGGUUAAGUUAGAAAGGGCGCACGGUGGAUGCCUUGGCACUAGGAGCCGAAGAAGGACGGGACUAACACCGAUAUGCUUUGGGGAGCUGUACGUAAGCGUUGAUCCAGAGAUUUCCGAAUGGGGGAACCCACUAUCUUUAGUCGGAUAGUAUCCUUACGUGAAUACAUAGCGUGAGGAAGGCAGACCCAGGGAACUGAAACAUCUAAGUACCUGGAGGAAGAGAAAGAAAAAUCGAUUUCCUGAGUAGCGGCGAGCGAAACGGAAAGAGCCCAAACCAAGAAGCUUGCUUCUUGGGGUUGUAGGACACUCUAUACGGAGUUACAAAAGAAAGUUAUAAAUGAAGCGGUCUGGAAAGGCCCGCCAAAGACGGUAACAGCCCGGUAGUUGAAAUGGCUUUCCCUCCAGAGUGGAUCCUGAGUACGGCGGAACACGUGAAAUUCCGUCGGAAUCCGGGAGGACCAUCUCCCAAGGCUAAAUACUCCCUAGUGACCGAUAGUGAACCAGUACCGUGAGGGAAAGGUGAAAAGCACCCCGGAAGGGGAGUGAAACAGUUCCUGAAACCGUGUGCCUACAAGUAGUUAGAGCCCGUUAAUGGGUGAUAGCGUGCCUUUUGUAGAAUGAACCGGCGAGUUACGAUUUGUUGCAAGGUUAAGCGGAAAAAGCGGAGCCGUAGCGAAAGCGAGUCUGAAUAGGGCGCAUAAGUAACAGGUCGUAGACCCGAAACCAGGUGAUCUACCCAUGUCCAGGAUGAAGGUAAGGUAAUACUUACUGGAGGUCCGAACCCACGCACGUUGAAAAGUGCGGGGAUGAGGUGUGGGUAGCGGAGAAAUUCCAAUCGAACUUGGAGAUAGCUGGUUCUCUCCGAAAUAGCUUUAGGGCUAGCCUCGAGGUAAAGAGUCAUGGAGGUAGAGCACUGUUUGGACUAGGGGCCCUUCUCGGGUUACCGAAUUCAGAUAAACUCCGAAUGCCAUGUACUUAUACUCGGGAGUCAGACUGCGAGUGAUAAGAUCCGUAGUCGAAAGGGAAACAGCCCAGACCACCAGUUAAGGUCCCCAAAUAUAUGUUAAGUGGAAAAGGAUGUGGGGUUGCUUAGACAACCAGGAUGUUGGCUUAGAAGCAGCCACCAUUGAAAGAGUGCGUAAUAGCUCACUGGUCGAGUGACCCCGCGCCGAAAAUGUACCGGGGCUAAACAUAUUACCGAAACUGUGGAUGAACCUCUUUAGAGGUUCGUGGUAGGAGAGCGUUCUAAGGGCGGUGAAGUCAGACCGGAAGGACUGGUGGAGCGCUUAGAAGUGAGAAUGCCGGUAUGAGUAGCGAAAGAAGGGUGAGAAUCCCUUCCACCGAAUAUCUAAGGUUUCCUGAGGAAGGCUCGUCCGCUCAGGGUUAGUCGGGACCUAAGCCGAGGCCGAUAGGCGUAGGCGAUGGACAACAGGUAGAGAUUCCUGUACCAGUGCUAAUUGUUUAACCGAUGGGGUGACACAGAAGGAUAGGGAAUCGCACGAAUGGAAAUGUGCGUCCAAGCAGUGAGUGUGAGAAGUAGGCAAAUCCGCUUCUCGCGAAGCAUGAGCUGUGAUGGGGAAGGAAAUUAAGUACGGAAGUUCCUGAUUUCACGCUGUCAAGAAAAGCCUCUAGGAAGAGUAGUACUGCCCGUACCGCAAACCGACACAGGUAGAUGAGGAGAGAAUCCUAAGGUGAGCGAGAGAACUCUCGUUAAGGAACUCGGCAAAAUGACCCCGUAACUUCGGGAGAAGGGGUGCUCUAUUAGGGUGCAAGCCCGAGAGAGCCGCAGUGAAUAGGCCCAGGCGACUGUUUAGCAAAAACACAGGUCUCUGCAAAACCGUAAGGUGACGUAUAGGGGCUGACGCCUGCCCGGUGCUGGAAGGUUAAGAGGAGUGCUUAGCUUCGGCGAAGGUACGAAUUGAAGCCCCAGUAAACGGCGGCCGUAACUAUAACGGUCCUAAGGUAGCGAAAUUCCUUGUCGGGUAAGUUCCGACCCGCACGAAAGGCGCAACGAUCUGGGCACUGUCUCAACGAGAGACUCGGUGAAAUUAUAGUACCUGUGAAGAUGCAGGUUACCCGCGACAGGACGGAAAGACCCCGUGGAGCUUUACUGCAACCUGAUAUGGAAUGUUUGUACCGCUUGUACAGGAUAGGUAGGAGCCGAAGAGACGUGUGCGCUAGCAUACGAGGAGGCAAUGGUGGGAUACUACCCUGGCUGUAUGACCAUUCUAA
rnacentral:rRNA from 1 species